ensembl:lncRNA
CAAGUUAGUGUUAAAAUGGCGGCGGCCGCAGCGGAGCAGGUAACGCAACCUGUGUAAUCUCAACUGCCGCUCGGCGUCACUUCAACUCGGGCGGUGCUGCUGGAGGAAAAGUGGACGAGUGUGGAUUUAUUUCUCGGAGCCUGUCAGUAAAAGUGCGUGUGUGCGUGUGUGUGUGUGUGUGUGAGAGGGAAGUAGCGCUGUGAUGAAGAAGCAGGAACAGAAAUGCACAGAUGAGUGAAGUUCAAACUGAACGGAAGUGAACUUCACAUGCCUCCUCCCCGCCGCGGCUCGGGGUCAUUAGAACGCGCAUUAGAGCGUUAUUAACGCGACCUUAUGCAGUUUAGGCCGGAGGGGUAACUCCUGCUCUCAAGUUCAUGCCGGGUUUCUGUGUGUGAAGAGAAGCGCCGAGUCCGAGACACAAACACACACAGAGAGAGAGAGAGAGAGAGAGAGAGAGAGAGGUGAAGUCUGUCCAUCAUCAUCAUCAUCAUCAUCAUCAUCAUCAUCAUCAUGGACAGGAAGGUGCAGAUAAGAUGUGUAGAAGUGUUAUAAAGCAACACAACACGGAAGAAGGGAUGGACACAGAAGAUACGAUGAGAAACCCGGAUGGAAAAGGUGUGUGUGUGUGUGUGUGUGUGUGUGAAAGGCAUGAAUGGGCACGGCAUGUGUUUAAUCGUCAUACUGACGUCAUCUGUGUAUAUGGAUGUUGGACACUUGUGAUACUAUUGUACUAAGUGUGUGGAGAGCACGUGCAACAGGUGUGUGAUCAUUAUACUGAAUGUAGGGAUGUGAGACAGGUGUGUGAUCAUUAUACUGAAUGUAGGGAUGUGAGACAGGUGUGUGAUCAUUAUACUGAAUGUAGGGAUGUGAGACAGGUGUGUGAUCAUUAUACUGAAUGUAGGGAUGUGAGACAGGUGUGUGAUCAUUAUACUGAAUGUAGGGAUGUGAGACAGGUGUGAUGGUUAUACUGAAUGUAGGGAUGUGAGACGGGUGUGUGAUCAUUAUACUGAAUGUAGGGAUGUGAGACAGGUGUGAUGGUUAUACUGAAUGUAGGGAUGUGAGACGGGCGUGUAACGGUUAUACUGAAUGUAGGGAUGUGAGACGGGUGUGUGAUGGUUAUACUGAAUGUCGGGAUGUGAGACAGGUGUGAUGGUUAUACUGAACGUCGGGAUGUGAGACGGGCGCGUGACGGUUAUACUGAAUGUAGGGAUGUGAGACGGGCGCGUGACGGUUAUACUGAAUGUAGGGAUGUGAGACGGGCGUGUGCUGGUUAUACUGAAUGUAGGGAUGUGAGACGGGCGUGUGACGGUUAUACUGAACGUCAGGAUGUGAGACAGGUGUGUGACGGUUAUAUUGAACGUCGGGAUGUGAGACGGGUGUGUGCUGGUUAUAUUGAACGUCGGGAUGUGAGACGGGCGUGUGAUGGUUAUACUGAAUGUAGGGAUGUGAGACGGGUGUGUGACGGUUAUACUGAAUGUCGGGAUGUGAGACGGGCGUGUGACGGUUAUACUGAAUGUAGGGAUGUGAGACGGGCGUGUGAUGGUUAUACUGAAUGUAGGGAUGUGAGACAGGUGUGUGAUCAUCAUUAUACUGAAUGUAGGGAUGUGAGACGGGUGUGUGCUGGUUAUAUUGAAUGUAGGGAUGUGAGACGGGCGUGUGACGGUUAUACUGAACGUCAGGAUGUGAGACAGGUGUGUGACGGUUCUAUUGAACGUCGGGAUGUGAGACAGGUGUGUGCUGGUUAUAUUGAACGUCGGGAUGUGAGACGGGUGUGUGCUGGUUAUAUUGAACGUCGGGAUGUGAGACGGGUGUGUGACGGUUAUACUGAAUGUAGGGAUGUGAGACGGGUGUGUGCUGGUUAUAUUGAACGUCGGGAUGUGAGACAGGUGUGUGACGGUUAUAUUGAACGUCGGGAUGUGAGACGGGCGUGUGACGGUUAUACUGAACGUCGGGAUGUGAGACAGGUGUGUGACGGUUAUAUUGAACGUCGGGAUGUGAGACAGGUGUGUGCUGGUUAUAUCAUUAUAUUAGUGUUUGUGUGGGAGUGUGGUAUAGUAUCUCAGUAGCGUUGGGUCUUCACGGUGAUGUUACAGCUGGUGUGAGGUUGAAGUUACAGUUCCUCCUGAAGCUCCUUCUGAAAGAGAAGUGUGUUGUGAAACUGAUGUGAGACACAUUUGGGAAUGUUGAAAUCCGCUCCUGUGUGUCAAUGUCCUUCAGUUGUUCUCUAAACGAAGGAUGAAAGCCCCGCUUGUUUAUCUUGGGUUUUUUCGAUCUGAAUAAAAACUCAUUCAGCGAGGAGGUUAGUCUUUAAAAAUGAAUCAAUUAGAGGAAUCAUUAAAAUUGUGUUGUACUGUUUAUUUAGUCCUGGCCUGAAUACACUAUUUCACAUAACAGGUUAUUACGUAUAGUCCACGAGACACACACAUACCUGAAUUUACACAAAGGAACCAGUUCAAAAGUUUACAUACCCUUGAUUAUUAACCCCG